rnacentral:rRNA from 1 species
AAUAAUACCCUGGUAGUCCACCCCGUAAACGUUGGGAACUAGUUGUGGGGUCCUUUCCACGGAUUCCGUGACGCAGCUAACGCAUUAAGUUCCCCGCCUGGGGAGUACGGCCGCAAGGCUAAAACUCAAAGGAAUUGACGGGGACCCGCACAAGCGGCGGAGCAUGCGGAUUAAUUCGAUGCAACGCGAAGAACCUUACCAAGGCUUGACAUACACCGGAAACGGCCAGAGAUGGUCGCCCCGCAAGGUCGGUGUACAGGUGGUGCAUGGUUGUCGUCAGCUCGUGUCGUGAGAUGUUGGGUUAAGUCCCGCAACGAGCGCAACCCUCGUUCUAUGUUGCCAGCACGUUAUGGUGGGAACUCAUGGGAUACUGCCGGGGUCAACUCGGAGGAAGGUGGGGAUGACGUCAAAUCAUCAUGCCCCUUAUGUCUUGGGCUUCACGCAUGCUACAAUGGCCGGUACAAAGGGCUGCAAUACCGUGAGGUGGAGCGAAUCCCAAAAGCCGGUCCAGUUCGGAUUGAGGUCUGCAACUCGACCUCAUG